AUGUACCACUUGUCCACUGCGGUUAUGAGUGCGCCGUCCGUACCCACCCGACGACUGCCCGCCAUGGUGUGUCAGCC
rnacentral:sRNA from 1 species